rnacentral:tRNA from 1 species
GCUCCAGUGGCGCAAUCGGUCAGCGCGCGGUACUUAUAAGACAGUAACUUGCAGAGUGAUGCCGAGGUUGUGAGUUCGAGCCUCACCUGGAGCA